GUAGGUGGCAAACGUUGUCCGGAAUUAUUGGGCGUAAAGCGCGCGCAGGCGGUUCUUUAAGUCUGAUGUGAAAGCCCACGGGCUCAACCGUGGAGGGUCAUUGGAAACUGGAGAACUUGAGUACAGAAGAGGAAAGCGGAAUUCCACGUGUAGCGGUGAAAUGCGUAGAGAUGUGGAGGAACACCAGUGGCGAAGGCGGCUUUCUGGUCUGUAACUGACGCUGAGGCGCGAAAGCGUGGGGAGCAAACAGGAUUAGAUACCCUGGUAGUCCACGCCGUAAACGAUGAGUGCUAAGUGUUAGGGGGUUUCCGCCCCUUAGUGCUGCAGCUAACGCAUUAAGCACUCCGCCUGGGGAGUACGGCCGCAAAGGCUG
rnacentral:rRNA from 1 species